rnacentral:rRNA from 1 species
UACGUAGGGUGCGAGCGUUGUCCGGAAUUAUUGGGCGUAAAGGGCUCGUAGGCGGUUUGUCGCGUCGGGAGUGAAAACCUCAGGGCUUAACCCUGAGCCUGCUUCCGAUACGGGCAUCACUGGAGUUCGGCAGGGGAGACGUGGAAUUCCUGGUGUAGCGGUGAAAAUGCGCAGAUAUCAGGAGGAACACCGGUGGCGAAGGCGGGUCUCUGGGCCGAUACUGACGCUGGAGAAGCGAAAGCAUGGGGAGCGAACAGG